CCUACGGGAGGCAGCAGUGGGGAAUAUUGCACAAUGGGGGAAACCCUGAUGCAGCGACGCCGCGUGAGUGAAGAAGUAAUUCGUUAUGUAAAGCUCUAUCAGCAGGGAAGAAAAUGACGGUACCUGAGUAAGAAGCCCCGGCUAACUACGGGCCAGCAGCCCCGGUAAUACGUAGGGGGCAAGCGUUAUCCGGUUUUACUGGGGGGAAAGGGAGCGUAGACGGCAGUGCAAGUCUGGAGUGAAAGGCGGGGGCUCAACCCCCGGACUGCCCUGGAAACUGUACGGCUGGAGUGCAGGAGAGGUAAGUGGAAUUCCUAGUGUAGCGGUGAAAUGCGUAGAUAUUAGGAGGAACACCAGUGGCGAAGGCGGCUUACUGGACUGUAACUGACGUUGAGGCUCGAAAGCGUGGGGAGCAAACAGGAUUAGAUACCCUGGUAGUC
rnacentral:rRNA from 1 species